ACAUGCAAGUCGAACGAACUCUGGUAUUGAUUGGUGCUUGCAUCAUGAUUUACAUUUGAGUGAGUGGCGAACUGGUGAGUAACACGUGGGAAACCUGCCCAGAAGCGGGGGAUAACACCUGGAAACAGAUGCUAAUACCGCAUAACAACUUGGACCGCAGGUCCGAGUUUGAAAGAUGGCUUCGGCUAUCACUUUUGGAUGGUCCCGCGGCGUAUUAGCUAGAUGGUGGGGUAACGGCUCACCAUGGCAAUGAUACGUAGCCGACCUGAGAGGGUAAUCGGCCACAUUGGGACUGAGACACGGCCCAAACUCCUACGGGAGGCAGCAGUAGGGAAUCUUCCACAAUGGACGAAAGUCUGAUGGAGCAACGCCGCGUGAGUGAAGAAGGGUUUCGGCUCGUAAAACUCUGUUGUUAAAGAAGAACAUAUCUGAGAGUAACUGUUCAGGUAUUGACGGUAUUUAACCAGAAAGCCACGGCUAACUACGUGCCAGCAGCCGCGGUAAUACGUAGGUGGCAAGCGUUGUCCGGAUUUAUUGGGCGUAAAGCGAGCGCAGGCGGUUUUUUAAGUCUGAUGUGAAAGCCUUCGGCUCAACCGAAGAAGUGCAUCGGAAACUGGGAAACUUGAGUGCAGAAGAGGACAGUGGAACUCCAUGUGUAGCGGUGAAAUGCGUAGAUAUAUGGAAGAACACCAGUGGCGAAGGCGGCUGUCUGGUCUGUAACUGACGCUGAGGCUCGAAAGUAUGGGUAGCAAACAGGAUUAGAUACCCUGGUAGUCCAUACCGUAAACGAUGAAUGCUAAGUGUUGGAGGGUUUCCGCCCUUCAGUGCUGCAGCUAACGCAUUAAGCAUUCCGCCUGGGGAGUACGGCCGCAAGGCUGAAACUCAAAGGAAUUGACGGGGGCCCGCACAAGCGGUGGAGCAUGUGGUUUAAUUCGAAGCUACGCGAAGAACCUUACCAGGUCUUGACAUACUAUGCAAAUCUAAGAGAUUAGACGUUCCCUUCGGGGACAUGGAUACAGGUGGUGCAUGGUUGUCGUCAGCUCGUGUCGUGAGAUGUUGGGUUAAGUCCCGCAACGAGCGCAACCCUUAUUAUCAGUUGCCAGCAUUAAGUUGGGCACUCUGGUGAGACUGCCGGUGACAAACCGGAGGAAGGUGGGGAUGACGUCAAAUCAUCAUGCCCCUUAUGACCUGGGCUACACACGUGCUACAAUGGAUGGUACAACGAGUUGCGAACUCGCGAGAGUAAGCUAAUCUCUUAAAGCCAUUCUCAGUUCGGAUUGUAGGCUGCAACUCGCCUACAUGAAGUCGGAAUCGCUAGUAAUCGCGGAUCAGCAUGCCGCGGUGAAUACGUUCCCGGGCCUUGUACACACCGCCCGUCACACCAUGAGAGUUUGUAACACCCAAAGUCGGUGGGGUAACCUUUUAGGAACCAGCCGCCUAAGGUGGGACAGAUGAUUAGGGUGAAGUCGUAACA
rnacentral:rRNA from 2 species